AACGAACGUUAGCGGCGCGCUUAACACAUGCAAGUCGUGCGAGAAAGGGAGCAAUCCCCGGUAAAGCGGCGCACGGGUGAGUAACACGUAGGUAACGUGCCCCCAGGUGGUGGAUAACCUUCCGAAAGGAGGGCUAAUACAGCAUAAGACCACGGCUUCGAAAGGAGCUGAGGUCAAAGUCGGCCUCUAUUCAUAAGCUGACGCCAGGGGAUCGGCCUGCGGCCCAUCAGGUAGUUGGUAGGGUAAUGGCCUACCAAGCCUAAGACGGGUAGCUGGUCUGAGAGGAUGAUCAGCCACACUGGAACUGAGACACGGUCCAGACUCCUACGGGAGGCAGCAGUGGGGAAUCUUGCGCAAUGGGCGAAAGCCUGACGGAGCGACGCCGCGUGGUGGAUGAAGGCCCUUGGGUUGUAACACCUGUCAGAGGGAUGAAAUCAUGGUUGGCAAUCCUUCCAUGUUGACAGAGCCUCAGAGGAAGCACGGGCUAAGUACGUG
rnacentral:rRNA from 1 species